GGAAUAUUGCACAAUGGGCGAAAGCCUGAUGCAGCGACGCCGCGUGCGGGAUGAAGGCCUUCGGGUUGUAAACCGCUUUUAAUUGGGAGCAAGCGAGAGUGAGUGUACCUUUUGAAUAAGCACCGGCUAACUACGUGCCAGCAGCCGCGGUAAUACGUAGGGUGCAAGCGUUAUCCGGAAUUAUUGGGCGUAAAGAGCUCGUAGGCGGUUUGUCACGCCUGGUGUGAAAGUCCAUCGCUUAACGGUGGAUCUGCGCCGGGUACGGGCAGGCUAGAGUGCAGUAGGGGAGAUUGGAAUUCCCGGUGUAACGGUGGAAUGUGUAGAUAUCGGGAAGAACACCAAUGGCGAAGGCAGAUCUCUGGGCUGUUACUGACGCUGAGGAGCGAAAGCAUGGGGAGCGAACAGGAUUAGAUACCCUGGUAGUCCAUGCCGUAAACGGUGGAUGCUGGAUGUGGGGCCCUUCCACGGGCUCCGUGUCGGAGCUAACGCGUUAAGCAUCCCGCCUGGGGAGUACGGCCGCAA
rnacentral:rRNA from 1 species